AUUCUAUUUGAUUAUUUUUUUAUAUAUUAUUUACAAAAUGUGAGUACAUGUAAUUGAGUUUAUUUUAUUAAUUUUUUUUAUAUUAUUUCAGCAAGCUCGUGAUACAAAUGAGCCAGAGUCUCCUUUGGGUACAAGACAAUCAUAUGAUGGAAGUAACAUUUAGGAAGUUUAUGAUAUUGUUUUAGGAUAAAACUAUACCUAGUUUAUUAUGAAUUGAGUAACAUUUCUUUCUUUGUAACUACUUCUGUAAUGAGAUU
rnacentral:lncRNA from 1 species